UACGAAGGGGACUAGCGUUGUUCGGAAUCACUGGGCGUAAAGCGCACGUAGGCGGAUUCGUAAGUUAGGGGUGAAAUCCCGGGGCUCAACCUCGGAACUGCCUUCGAUACUGGAAGUCUUGAGUCCGGGAGAGGUGAGUGGAACUCCGAGUGUAGAGGUGAAAUUCGUAGAUAUUCGGAAGAACACCAGUGGCGAAGGCGGCUCACUGGCCCGGUACUGACGCUGAGAUACGAAAGCGUGGGGAGCAAACAGG
rnacentral:rRNA from 1 species